CCUACGGGUGGCAGCAGUGGGGAAUAUUGCACAAUGGGGGAAACCCUGAUGCAGCAACGCCGCGUGAGUGAAGAAGUAUUCGGUAUUUAAAGCCCUAUCAGCCGGGGAGGAAAUGACCGUACCUUAGUAAGACGCCCCGGCUAACUACGUGACAGCAGCCGCGGGAAAACGGAGGGAGCAAGCGUUAUCCGGGUUUACUGGGCGUAAGGGGGGCGGAAGCGGCCUGCCAAGUUUGAUGGGAAAGGGCGGGGCUCAACCCCCGGGCUGCGUUGGAAACUGGCAGGCCUGAGUGGCGGAGAGGUAAGCGGAAUUCCUAGUGUAGCGGUGAAAUGCGUAGAUAUUAGGAGGAACACCAGUGGCGAAGGCGGCCUACUGGACGGUGACUGACGCUGAGGCUCGAAAGCGUGGGGAGCAAACAGGAUUAGAUACCCCUGUAGUC
rnacentral:rRNA from 1 species